rnacentral:rRNA from 1 species
CAGCCGCCGCGGUAAAACGGAGGGUGCGAGCGUUAAUCGGAAUAACUGGGCGUAAAGGGCACGCAGGCGGUUAUUUAAGUGAGGUGUGAAAGCCCCGGGCUUAACCUGGGAAUUGCAUUUCAGACUGGGUAACUAGAGUACUUUAGGGAGAGGUAGAAUUCCACGUGUAGCGGUGAAAUGCGUAGGGAUGUGGAGGAAUACCGAAGGCGAAGGCAGCCCCUUGGGAAUGUACUGACGCCCAUGUGCGAAAGCGUGGGGAGCAAACAGGAUUAGAGACCCCAGUAGUCCCUGUCUCUUAUAC